GGCUCACUUCCGGUUGACCCGGAAGAGAAAGGAGGAGGAGGUGCGGAGACAGCUGCAGCCUUUGGAACAUGGUCAGGCAAGGAAGCAAGGAAGGCAGCAAGCAAGGAUGCAUGCCGGCAGCCUUUGAGCCGCUCUACAACUGCUGACAUCCGUGCCCGCGGCAGCAAGCAACAGGCAAGAAAGGCAGCAUCAACAGGAGAAAUAUGCGGAUGUCAUUAUCCCUCAAGGCGUGGAUAAUACGGGAGAAUCUACACAAAGGCUAUAGACGAUGAGGGGAAGGCUUCCUGUUAACAGUUUCCUGGGUUUGAAUUGCAAAUGGGAAAACAGCGAUCGCAACUGAAAGAUUACACCACUUGGACUGAUCCCAGGAUGACAAGAAGGCCAUCUUACCUUCCUGGUCUUCACUGUUGACACGCAACAAUCUCCAUCGUCAUAGUUGCAAAAGGCUCGGUUGUUGACCGGAUCACAAUAAUUGUCUCCCCCAAAAGGCUGGAAAAGAAAAGAAAAAAACAAAAAGAUGAGGACAAUGUCUACUUGCUUGUUAAGUGAACAUUGGGAAUCGGCUACAAUUGCCGGCCGUGAAGACUCUGGAGAAUGAGAAGGAAGAGAAACGAAUCUUAUUAGUGGACAAUCCAGAACUGUUCCAGUUAAGCUGCCUAGAGCAGGGGUCUUCAAACUCGGCUCUUGCAUGACUUGUGUACUUGUACGUGAGCUUGGCUGAGGAAUUCUGGGAGUUAAAGUCCACAGUCAUAAAAGGGACAAGUUUGAAGACCCCUGGUAUAGUUUCCUGCCUAGAACAGGGGUCUUCAAACUUGGCCCUUUCAUAAUUGUGGAU